rnacentral:rRNA from 1 species
AGUGAACGCUGGCGGUAGGCCUAACACAUGCGAGUCGAACGGCAGCACAGUAAGAGCUUGCUCUUACGGGUGGCGAGUGGCGGACGGGUGAGGAAUACAUCGGAAUCUACUUUUUCGUGGGGGAUAACGUAGGGAAACUUACGCUAAUACCGCAUACGACCUACGGGUGAAAGCAGGGGAUCUUCGGACCUUGCGCGAUUGAAUGAGCCGAUGUCGGAUUAGCUAGUUGGCGGGGUAAAGGCCCACCAAGGCGACGAUCCGUAGCUGGUCUGAGAGGAUGAACAGCCACACUGGAACUGAGACACGGUCCAGACUCCGACGGGAGGCAGCAGUGGGGAAUAGUGGACGAUGGGCGCAAGCCUGAUCCAGCCAUACCGCGUGGGUGAAGAAGGCCUUCGGGUUGUAAAGCCCUUUUGUUGGGAAAGAAAAGCAGCAGGUUAAUACCCCGCUGUUCUGACGGUACCCAAAGAAUAAGCACCGGCUAACUUCGUG